GGAUUAGAUACCCUGGUAGUCCACGCCGUAAACGAUGAGUACUAGUUAUUGGAGGUAUUGACCCCUUCAGUGACGCAGCUAACGCAUUAAGUACUCCGCCUGGGAAGUACGGUCGCAAGACUAAAACUCAAAGGAAUUGACGGGGGCCCGCACAAGCGGUGGAUUAUGUGGUUUAAUUCGAAGCAACGCGCAAAACCUUACCUAGGCUUGAAAUCCUGAGAAUCUGGGGUAAUGCCCGGAGUGUCCGCAAGGAAAUUCAGUGACAGGUGCUGCAUGGCUGUCGUCAGCUCGUGUUG
rnacentral:rRNA from 1 species